UUAUCACAGUGGACAGAGAACUACAAGUGACCACCAACAGUGUGAGAGGCAGCAAAACUGUGAGAGGUGUUGCUUCCCCCAGACCCCCGUGUUGAUGGAUGUACAGUGGAACUAAGGACCUCGGGGCUUGUGGAAGUUUGUGGGAGAAUCUGCUGAGGCCACUGCUUCCCACAGGGCUCCUUCUCAGCAGGCUCAGAGCUCACAAGUCCUGCACCCUCCUCUAAACUGCCUGUCCAGUUUAGAAUGAGGCAGGUCUCCCCCAUUUACCAUAUUUGUGGAUAAGAAGUACAUUUGCAGUGUCAAAGGGGCAACACAGAAGCUCCACUGUAGCAGGCAGUGAAACUUUCAUUGUUUCUAGGUUUCUAAAACUCACUCAGCAAGCGAAUGACCUCACUUCCUUCCACUCCCAACAACUGUGAUACAAUCUCUGCCUGCUCUGCAGGACCCUCAAAGAACUCAAGGACUGAGGAUGGGAACCAGGACUGAUGUCACCUGGUUCCUAACUGGAGGUCCAUCAGAGGUUUCCACAUUUAUCUAAGUGAGGCUGUUAGGUUUCCACACUGGCCACCAUGACCACAAAGAUGGGGCACUGGCCCUGGCCUCAAGGCUGAUGUCAAAGAUGUGAUCCCUCAUGUAUACUGCUAGAACUGCAUAACAGUAUUUCCUGGGUCAGGGGACCCUGACCUCAUCUGGUGAGGACUCUUUAGGCAGGUGCUAUGGAGUCUGGGCUUGAGCUCAUGCAUGAUAUGGCUUGAGUCUUCUUAGAUUAGCCCUACUGGCCAAAAUUUGUAAGGAGACAAGAAAUGUCCUCGGUCAGGAUUGUGUUCAUUUCUGUCUGUCACUGGAGGUCCCCACCAAAGCCAAUUUUUGGACAGUGGAAAGCUAUGAAUAUCUACAUUGUACAAUUAAAUUCAGAGUUCCCAGAGAGGCGGCACUUCCCCAGCCAAAGCACAAAGGUCCGACUGAUGUUUAAUCUUGAUGGUCAGUUUCAGUCAUUGUUCAAAAGUCAUGCCCUAGAUGCACAACGUGCCAAGGAUGUCUGCUUAGGCCCCAAGCCAGACACACAGGCAGCCGAUCGAGGAGUGGUCACUCACCCAAAGCAAGUGUCUCCCUUCUUUCCUCAUUCCUCACACACAUCCGGGGUGUCAUGGUUCAUUUUCAUUUUCAAAUUGAUGGGAUUUAGAAUCACCAUGGAAACACAUCUCUGGAGGAGACAAUGAGAACAUUUCCAGGUAGGUUUAACUGAGCAGGAAGACCUACCCUGAACAUAGGCAGCACAAUUCCAUGGCUUGUGGUCCCAGGCCGAAUGAAAAGGAGAUUGAUCUGAGCACCAGAGUUCUUCUCUCUCUGCUUCUCGGCUGUGGCUGCGGUGUGACCAGCUAUUGCAUACGUGCUAACUUCACCGCAGUGGGCUGUGCUGUACCCCUUCCUAAACCACAAGCCCAAACAAAUCUCACUUCCUAAAAUUGGUUCUAGUUAGGUGUUUGGUUAGAGCAAUGAUAGUGUAUCUUCUUAAGAAUAAUCACAGAAGUCACACAUGGCUUUCUGGUCACGAAGGAUCCCAGUCCACUCCCUGCAAGACUGGGAAGAAUCUUAACUGUCCAGUUUGUUUCCUUUCUGGACCCUGUGCACUUUUGCCCUCAGUCACGUGCAGCUUAUUGGGAUCUUGAAUGAGUUGCAGGUGACUGGUGAAACGUUUGGGGCCCAGGAUGAGCCUGUAUCUCUGAACUCUGGAAAGGGAAACCAUUAGAUGCAUUUUAGGUUCUUAGCAUCCCUUAUUUAAAUGAGCUCACAGACUCCUGUCAGGUCCAGAGUUUUGCAUGUGGCUAUCAACAGAUACCACAUGUGAUGUAGGAUGUCCUUCUGGAUAUGUGUUGUAGCCCCAUGUUGGGUGCCAGAUGUAGCUAGCUGUAUCUCCUUCUCACUGGUCCGCGGACUGGUUUUUCCUCCACCCGCUUGUUCCUGAAGCCACUUAUUAAAUAACCAUUUGGAGGUUUAAUAUCAUUUACAAUUGUUUAGCUAAUAUGUUAGGCUUUUUACUGGCUAGCUCUAACUAUUAAAUUAACUUGUUUUUAUUAAUCUGUCUAUUGUCAUGAGGCUGUGGCUUACAGGGGCAGCACAUUACCCUUUCAGCAGCAAUAUGGCAUCUCCUUUGACUCCACCUAGCCUCUCUCUCUCUCUGUCUCUGUUUGGAUUUCCCACUUGAUUUUACUCUGUUAAGCCAUUGGCCAAAACAGCUUUAUUCAUUAAACAAUAAAAGUAACAACACAUAAUCAGAAGGACAUCCUACAUCAUACACGGGCUUUGCGAUGGCCCCAGUCCUGUGCAUACAGGAAUUUUGCUUUGGAACGGGAAGAUUCAGAGAAUCUCCACUCUGGUAAAAAACUGUAGAAGCAAGCAUCUUUCUUCUUGUUCUCUCUGUCCUUGCUCAGGGUACUGGCUGGGGUCUCAGAGACCUUCCUCUGGGUGCUAAUGUACGUCUGUGGGUGUUUGAAGUCCUGUCCCUGGGUGUGGCACCAAAAAUCUGCAGUAAAGCCAUCUAAGGAUACACGGUCAGCCAUGAUUGACAGAUCUGGUGGCAAGCUGGGCCAUAGAGUCUUCUCAUGUAAGGGCCAUGGCUUAGAACACAUGGUGUUGAUCUGAGAGAGAGGCCCUUGCUAGUUACAGGGAUUUGAAUGUGAACUAAGAGCAAGGAAGCCCUGACCAUGUGAAAAGGGAGCAGAGGCCUGGAUGGUGUUUCUGAGAGUGGCAGCUCUCUGUGUGUGUGUGGUGGUGGUGGUGGUGGUGGGUGUAGCCACUUCUAUCUGCCCCUUUAUGCACCUGCUCUCUUCACAAGCGCUCCUGUGUGGGCGUGGCUUCCUCACUCCCGCCCCGUGUGGGCGUGGCUUCCUCACUCCUGCCCCUGUGUGGGUGUGACUUCUUCACAUCUGCCUCCAUGGGGGCAGUUCCUCUCCAGCUGAAGGAGGAAGUGCUGGACCAGACCCCAGCGUGGUGCUGCCACUCCAUCUUCCAAGAUGUCACCUGGAAAGCUCAGGCUCUGGGUGCUCACCUUCUCUCACUCCAGGUAAAACUGUUACUCCAUUCACUUCAGAUCUGUGAGUCUGGGCACUUUCAUCCCCAUAUCCCAUCCCACCUCUCCACCUUCACUUUGCCGCUUCUCAUCCCUGCACACCUGGGGGGCAGGAUCGGGGCCGGCUGCACACCAGCCGUCCCGACCUGAGGGCUCACCCCACUCGUGAUGUGCUCUGUUACCUGCAGCUGCCUCUCAUUAUUUCUGUCUCAUGGGCAUCAACUCACAGACUCAUUUGGGUCCCAAACAGUCAGGGUGUUUUAGUAGAGGGGCACAUUUACUAACAAGAGAUUUAUGUUGUUUGCAGUGGGUUCAAGUGUCGUCCUCGCCAGGAGUAGGUUUGCGCAUGGAAGACGGAGGACAGGAAGAAGGGCAGAUGCUGGCUGCCUCCGGAGGGCCUUGCUGGGUGCACACCUGGAAUCUGUGGACUCCAGGUGCCCUCAGAAUUGUCUCAGUGCUUUUCAUCCCACAACUUGAUUGUGACAUCGUCCCUGCAUCUCCUUGAUUUCCACCUUCUCUGGUCCCCUUCCCCACUUAUCAUUUCUGACGUUGCUGGAUGCAUAACUCUCGGCUGACUGUACCAUGCCUCAUUUAAUUAUAUUAAAGAUUUUGUUGUUGUUGUUGUUAUUGAA